CAAUUAUAAUCAAACCCCAAACAUGUAAUUUUAUGAGAUCAAGUUGUAAUAUUGCGAGAAAAAGAACACGCUGUGCCCUGGCAAAGAACCCCAUAAGGUUGAUAUCUCGAGAGAAAAACAAAAGGAACUCUAAAUAGCUAAAAGCGAGGUUACACGCAGCAGAGAGAGUGUGUGUGUUGCAGUGUAUGCUAUGACGUCUUAAUUGGAUUUAGCUGGCGAUGCAGGAAGCCGGUUAUGUGGCCAACAGUGAGUCCUUUUGUAGUGAAGACAGAGAUACAUUCAAGCCGCACGACUGAGCGGCACCACCGCUUUUAUAACCAUUUGUUCUCAUCAUCACCGUGAUUAUUUUGAUUGCAGAAAUGUUGUGACGUGUUCCUCAAAAUUCGGAUUCAUGAACAAAUUGCGCGUCGCAGCCAGAACCGCGAGACCAUGUCAGAAUGUGUGACUAACUCAAUUCAACUUAACUUCAAAAAGGGCCACAGCUGCAUACAAAGUGCUGAACAUGAAGUCAAAAUCAAACAUAAAAAAAAAACAACAAAAAAAAAAAACUAAAUCCGUUGUGUGCACCUCGACCACCAGGGGGCCAUAUACUGGACACACAGAUAUCAAAUAGAUUUGGUAGGGUUGGACAAAGAAGACCGUCAUGACAAACCACCUGAAGUAUGUAGAGUUUCUCAGAGAGGAUAAAGAAUAUAUGCAAGCGAUUAACAUGUCUGUUCAUGUGUUGCUCCCCUGUUGGUGUUCAAUAUCCAUUGCUUCCAGGGUUCCGACUACAGCCACAUCACUGCUAGUUUUGUUAGCCUAUCUGUAGCCCUAUGCAUUGCGUGUUAGCAUGAAGCUAGUAACCUUUGGUCGGACAGGUAUGUGGUUGAUAAAUGCAUAAAGUGCGAUUCUCUUUGUUUUGUUUAAUUUUACAGUAAAAUCAAAUUGCGAUUGGCAAUAAACGGCAUUGAAGGAAGCACCUGACAUCGUUUUGGGGGGGAAAAUGUUCACUGCCAAAACUCAAAUUUUUACAUACAAUUCAAGACAGGAAAUUUGACUGAGCGCAAUGAUUCAUCAAUGUCAAGGUGCCACUGUAUGUCAUGCCAGCUCUUGGCACCUUAAUGCCCAGGAACUAUGUUGAUGUGAUUUGAGUGCUUCAUUUCGAUCAAAAUGGCGCUUAAAAGCGACAAGACUUUGUCGUAGCGGAGGGUAACGUUAGUUCACCAUUUGUGCAUUUGUAUCUGCCGAAUCUUGUAGACGGAAGAAGCCCAGUUACCGUAUGGCCCCAAAUGAAAAAGUCCUCUCUUGAUCUGCUUCGGUUCUCCGCAGGGAGUCGCCCACUUUGACGGCAGUCGGCAGUGAAUGCGCGCUUCAAAGCGAGCGUCUUAGCCUCGCUUUACAUUUCUCCAAAGGCUUAAAGAGGAACCUGACCCUGCGGGGGUGACGGAAUAUUGAAUAUCGCAACCCGCGCACAGGACGCGACCAUAAUGAAAACGACGCAGCCGAGUCGAACACAUUUUUUUUUCUUCUCUUCCUGAUGCAUUCCGCUGACUGGAAGCUCCUUCUUUGCAUUCACACGGCCUACUUCUGUCUGCAGGUUUCCGCGUUACGAUCCCUGAAGCCUCUCUCUUUUUCUUUUUUUUUUCUUUUUUGUUUUAACAGUGAGUCAAUCAGUAAUGCCAGACGUUGUCAUGAUCCCGACUGGAAGGUAAGUAAACCAAAAAAAAAAUUUGAAGGUCAAGGACAUUGCAAAAGAAAGCACCAAGCCAUGUUUCCAUGUUUGCACGAUAUUCUCUUGCUCUGUGUGUUGUUGUAGGGGGGGUGAAAUAGAGCAGAUAAACAGGAACUGGGAUUCAUUUCAUGUGAAAAGUUGCAUGAGUGACCAUGCGUGAGGCGAUUCGUGAGAAUGGCCCAUAUCCGCAACCUGAGUUGUUUGAAAUGUCUCUCAUAUGCAGGUACGGGAGCACCAGGACCUUUGUUCCUCGGUUGGGAAGAACUUCUUCAGCAUGCUCACCAGAGGAGUAGAUUGCUGAGUUGAAUAAAUAAACGGCCCAGCCACGACGUGAAGAUAAGAUUCACGGCAUUGUUGGCUGACUGUAUUGCUGCCAUGGCAACGAGCGCCUCACGGGGCCGUUGCCCAGGAGUCGUUUACCUCACGGAUGUGAUGGAUGAGGACUGGAGGUAUCUGCUUACCCAGCGUCCUGGGUCUGAAGUCCAUCAGCUAAAACCAGCUGCUUCCCUCCACUAUCGACAUUCUUCUUCGUCUUCUUCUUCCUCUUCUGGCUGCUCCUCAACCAGCUGAUGGCCUGUCCCAGGGAGC